UACGUAGGGUGCGAGCGUUGUCCGGAAUUACUGGGCGUAAAGAGCUCGUAGGUGAUUUGUCGCGUUGUUCGUGAAAACCGGGGGCUUAACCCUCGGCGUGCGGGCGAUACGGGCAGACUGGAGUACUGCAGGGGAGACUGGAAUUCCUGGUGUAGCGGUGGAAUGCGCAGAUAUCAGGAGGAACACCGGUGGCGAAGGCGGGUCUCUGGGCAGUAACUGACGCUGAGGAGCGAAAGCGUGGGGAGCGAACAGG
rnacentral:rRNA from 1 species